rnacentral:snRNA from 1 species
GCAUGUUUUUACAUCGCAAUUGUUUAGAACAACACAGAGAAGAUUAGCAUGACCCCUGCGCAAGGACGGCAUGUGUGUCUUGAGAGUGACCCAGAAGUAGU